CUUGUAGUACUUGACCUGAUGAUUGGUUGAUGGCAGCUACUCAAAAAAAACGUGAUUCAAAUUACACGCAGGUGACUGCAGGAGGACACGGAAGACGGACAAGAGUAAAAGUUCAUCAAAAAUUGACAUCCGCAUCAACAACGAGCGAAAGUGCUGAUUUGCCAACACAGCUCGCAAAAGAUAAUGUAUCUUGUCUACAAACAAACAAAAGAACAUCUCAGGCGAACCGCCGUAUUUGUGGCAUCGUGGGCCGCCGCUCGCUUUUGGAGACGGAGCUUUGGUUGCUCGGGCCGGAUUGAGGGCAAAUCUCCAGCGUGGGCGGCGAUAAGUCUUAUCUGCUGUCGGAGGCUCUGCGGAGAGAAGAAGAAGAAUGUC